rnacentral:rRNA from 1 species
GCGGCGAAGAGGAUAGGGAGAAGAAAAAAGAGUCUAGGUGGUCUACAACGCGAGGAGGAGUGUCGCCCCGCCCCCGUCGUCGGUGUUGUGGUCGCGGUGGUGGUGACGUACUUCGAGGAAGAGGAAAAGAAAGGGGCACAACAAUGGGACGUCGGUACAGGCUGGUCAAGCUGCUGCUCUACGCGGGGGCGCCUGCGGCUGGGCGCAACGACGUUGAUACCGUACCGACUCGACCAUGGCGUGCCACUAUGUUCAGCUGCCGUCGCUCGACCUGUACCACUGGUUGCCGCUUCCUCAACGGUAAGUUGAACAAAACAGGGCAGCCGGCUACACAUGUUAACGACGUAAACCGACUCGACCUUGGCCGAUCGCCCACCUCGACGUAGGCUUUUUCAACGUUGCCCUCUACCCUGCCACUGGCGGCUGCUCAAUGUCGCUCGAGUCCGCCACAGAGGUGAUGCUGGCGACCCCUCCUCCAUCGCGACGUGCCCCUCUCGAUGAGCACGUUAGAGGUGGGCGACAUGGGACCUCCGCCUCAGCGUACCCUCGUCUCCGCGCCCUAAAAAAAAAGACCCUUCGCAACUGAUCCUGCUUCUUCCGUUUAGCUCCACUCUCUCCGGUCUAGCCUGCUGAAGACCUCCGGUCUAGCCUGCCGACCGCGAGCUGGCCGGGUUGUCUACCCGGCCGCGCGGCCGCGUCUAGUGACGGGAUAUAUGUAAGGCGACGACGCGCGUUCAAAGUCGUCGUUUUUCCUUGAUGUGGCCACCGUUGCGGAGUAGGCUGCUGACGCCGCGGAGAAGGCCGAGGCUCCGAAAGCGACAGUGGCAGCCGCCGCGGCUCUAGUGCGUGGCCGUGUAACCCGUGCAGGACACGCUCAGGUCGGUGUACAGAUACGUGAGGUGCACC